GUUUUGAAGAUUCACUUUUUAAGCCAUAGUCCAUUUCAAAGAGGAUUUUGAAUACACGUUCAUUAAUAACCCCCUUGUGCAAAACCCACUGUCCAGUUCCAAUCGCAAACCAAAUGCAACAGAAUUUUCUCACUCACAAGUCACAAGCACAAACCCACAUAUGAAUUUGUUAGAAAAAUCUCUAUUCUCAACCCUAAAAUCCAUAGCCACCCAAAACCUUUAUUACAAUCUUCAGCAACAUAGAAGCAUAGUAAAAGUCCGUUUAAAAUGGGUGAAAAACAGAGGUUUAGACCACAUUAUCGAUGUCCAAACAGAUCUUAAAGCAGCUUGUUUACUAAAUGACGCUAUUCUCCGCUCACCAGUUGGUUAUCUUACUGCUAAGUCACUUAAUGACUCCCAAAAACUACUUGGACUUACAGUUCCUACACUUAGAUUCAUUCGAAGAUACCCAACUCUUUUUGAGGAGUUUCCUCACCCAAAGUACCAAUCUUUGCCUUGUUUUAAGCUUACCCAUAUUGCUAAAAUUCUUCAUGAUCAAGAAUUGAAGGUGUUUGAAGAUAACGAGAGUGAUUUGGUUGAAAGGCUUUCAAAAGUUCUUAUGAUGACUACCAACAAAAUGGUGGCGCUGCAAUCAUUACGUCCUUUGAAAUGGGAUUUAGGAUUGCCUGAUGAUUUUGAUAAGAAAUUAAUUACGAAAUUUCCAGAUCAUUUUAGGAUAGUUAAGGGAACAAAUGGAUUGGCUUGCUUAAAGCUUGUUCAGUGGCCAGAAAAAUAUGCCGUCUCUGAGUUGCAAAAGAUGAAUGAGAAGGGCACAACAGACGAUAGCAGCCCUCCGGGGUAUAGGGAAUUUAAAAGAGGCAAAGCUGCAUUAGAAUUCCCCAUGAGUUUCCCAAGGGGAUAUGGAGCACAGAAGAAGGUCAAGGCGUGGAUGGAUGAGUUUCAGAAGCUGCCUUACAUCUCACCGUAUGAGGAUUCAAGGGGAAUCGACCCCAAUAGUGAUCUUAUGGAAAAGAGAGUAGUUGGGGUUUUACAUGAGUUCUUGAGCUUGACACUAUACAAGAAAACAAAGAGAAAUUACUUGAGGAGCCUGAGAGAGGAAUUAAAUCUUCCACAUAGAUUUACUCGAAUAUUUACUAGGUAUCCAGGAAUAUUUUACCUCUCACUCAAGUGCAAGACAACGACUGUGGCAUUGAGAGAGGGGUACCGUCGUGGGAGACUUGUAAAUCCACAUCCUCUAACACGCCACAGGGAUAAGUUUCAUCAUGUUAUGAGGACUGGGUUAAUUUACCGAAGCAAAGGAGUGGACAUUUUGCCUCAGCUGGACAAUGUGGUUGAUGAAGAAGAGACUGAAUUGACUGAUGAAGAAGAAGAGAUUGAAUUGACUGAUGAAUGCGAUGGAACUUCUGAUGCAGAGACAGGUAGGGAUGAAGACUAGCAUCCCCUCAACAUAGGGAAGUUCAGUUCCCGGAAAUAAUACAGAGCUCUUGAGGAGCAAGCAUUUUAUGUCACGCUUGGUACCCUAUUAAGUGGAUUAGGAUGCAACAAUAUCCCAUAUUUCCAGAACAGAGUGGAACUGUUUACUAUAAGUGGGCGCUGCACAUGAUGCUGACAAAAUUUUCUUGGCUGCAAUUGAUAUGUUUGACGCUAUGAUGUCUAGAGGCAACAUAUAUGCACCUCAUGGGAAGGAGAAUAGCAGAGUUCUCAUUUGGACAGCAUUGCAGCACAGAUCUCAACAAGAGAAGGUGAAGUUAUUGCAGCAGGCUCAGAGGUUAUGUGAAGAUGCCCCUUCUGAUAACCUUCAAGUACUGGUAUAGAUAGUCAGAUGAUAAAUGUUAGUGAUCCUUAUUUGAUAAUAUUAAUUCCUUGCAUAAGUCAAGCUUACGCAUGUACCAUUACUCGAGCUACCUUUUUUUUUAAUACUAAACUGUAAACUACCUGCUCUACUUAGUCAAUUGACUCAAUUCUACUGUGUAUCCUUGUAAUUUACCCCAAUUAAUUGGAAAAGGAAACCCUAUGAAUCAA